CUGGGCAGGAUAGUCACAGUGGCUAAUGUAUUUGACACACCAGCCGCAAGGUUCUUGGAGAAUCAAUGAACAAGAUGCAUCCCUCCUUCUUAUUCACAUGUGUCAAAAUGAUCAACAUUAUCUUUCCCAAACUCAAUAUUUUAUGUGUAACUUGAACCACCGUUGAACCAAUCAUGGAGAGAUAUGCGCUGAUUGGCCAGAAAUUUAAAUUCUAAAGUGGCUCAUACAGAGGCGCAGACAACUUGAAUCAGAUACAUUUCACUCACUAGUAGCUGAUAGCUAUACCAUUUUAAAAAAUCACUCAAAUAAUAGCUCUUCCAAUUUACCUACAGCCCCUUUAAUAGAAUGAAAUGUGUAUCAGAGCUGCUCACUAAAGGCCUCACAGAAGCUAUCUUGCUGCUUUGCAUGAAUAUAAAGCAUUAACAGCCAGUAUUCUUGCAUAACAGAGGGGGAUUUUAAAUUGAUCUUUUCCAUCUCCAAGAUUCAUAAUGCUCAUUUGGAGAGAGUGAAAGAGAGACAGAGAGAGAGUGAGAUAGAGAUAGAAAGAGAGUGAGAGAGAAACAGAGACAGAGGGAGAGCUAGUGCAGACCGCCUGGUUAGAGGGUUAAGGCUGUAGCCUGUUUUACCCAUGAGGCCUGAAAGGAGAUAUCACAAAAUCCCCUCUAAAAGGCUUCUAGGCUGGAUUUGCGGUGCUGAGAGAGUGUGUCAGGGGCGGAGAUAAGCAGAUGUGAGGCACCGUGGUGAGGAAUCUUUCUGCUGUGAAUGAAGUGAGUCACUGAUAGACUCUUCACAGGAUGUCAAUACCAGAAGACACUAGAACACCCGACAUCAUGUGACUUUAGUAUUUCCUGUUCCAGCCAACCCCCAGUUGGAUACUUGAGUCUGAAGAUGGAAACUAUUGUGAUGCAACAUAGAUAAUUAAGAAUGGUGAGAAAUAAAGCCCACAUUUCAAGUAAA